rnacentral:rRNA from 1 species
UACAGGGGGUGCAAGCGUUACUCGGAAUUAUUGGGCGUAAAGAGCGCGUAGGCGGCUUCGUAAGUCUGAUGUGAAAGCCCCGGACUCAAUUCGGGAAGUGCAUCGGAUACUGCGGAGCUGGAGUACUGGAGAGGAGAGUGGAAUUCCUGGUGUAGAGGUGAAAUUCGUAGAUAUCGGGAGGAACAACAGAGGCGAAGGCGGCUCUCUGGACAGUAACUGACGCUGAGGCGCGAAAGCGUGGGGAGCAAACAGG